ACGGCCACACAUAGGCGAAAACACCAAGUUCCCGUCCGAUCACUGCAGUUAAGCGCCUGGGGGUCUCUUAGUUUAGUACCAUGGUUGGAGACAACAUGGGAAUUCGGGAUGCCGUAGGCU